rnacentral:lncRNA from 1 species
AUCUUCUCUAAUAUCCUUGUCAUAAUUAGUUACACUUGUUAUAUUUAUUAAUUAGGUUGCUGUUAGUGCUUCUUUCCAUCGAGUUUGGUGUAUUUGACUCCUGGCACAGGGUUUGCCCAAAUGCUUGUGGAUUUGUCUUUUCCUUUGAAAUCCUUGUCCACUGGGCUCUUGUGUUUCUAGGAGUCAGUCAUGGUCCAUUGGGCUCUUGUGUUUCUAGGAGUCAGUCAUGGUCUGUUGGGGUCUUCUGUUUCUAGGAGUCAGUCGUGGGUAGCAACUGCAGGUGAGGCGCUAUUUGAGGGCUCUCAGGAUGGAUGAGUUCUUUCUCGGAUGCUAGCAGCUCCCUGGGCACGCUCCUCAUUCUCUUGCUCAGGAAAUCUCACUUCCUGCCUUCUCAGGGGCAAAUGCUCUUCCCGACCACUGCUCCGUAAAGGGGAAGAAGAUGUAGGGGCCAGAGGGGUCCAGGUGCUUCUGUUGUGGUUACCAUGUUAACUACCCACCACAACUAUCCCAGAGCAGUUUUUAUCUGUGGAGCCUUAACUCGGAGCUCCUCAAAACCCAUGUCUAGUCAAUAGCAUUUUCUCAUAAUUGUCUUUCAGAUUUCUUCCAGGCUGUUUUCCCCCAUAUUCUUUCUUUGUUGGCUUAAUACACUUUCUUUCUUUUAGGAAUUCUGCAGGCCUCCUGCUGUGGAUUGAAUAUUUCUGUCCCUCCACAAUUCUUAUAUGGGCCCCCUAGUCCCCAUUGUGAUGGUAUUUGGAGACAGGGCCUUUGGGUGCAGAUGUUAUGAGGCCAGAGACCUCAUGGUGGGAUUAGUGUUCUUAUGAGAAGACCAUGAGAGCAGGCUUCCUCUCUGCUCCCCCUGCCACGUGGGACACAAUGAGGAGACAGCACGUCUCACGCGGAUGCAGCCUUCACCAGGCACUGCAUCUGCCAGCGAUUUGGUCCUCUCAGCCUACAGAACUUUGAGAAAUAAAUGUGUGUUGUUUAAGCCACCCAGUCUGUGGUAUUUUUCGUUAUAGCAUCCCAAACUGAUUUAGAGACCUUCUUAUACUCUUUCUUGAAUUUUUUUUUCCUUUUUUAAAAAAUUCUAUUAUUUCAUGAGAGGUAGGAUAGAAGUGAUUUGCUCACUCUGAUUGUUGGCUGGUUUGUUUCUCUCCUGAAUUUUCAGCAGUAAACACAGGGCACACCACUGGGCUACAUUGUUCCUGAGGGAACUGGCUCACAGCAAAGUGGGGUGGACACAAAGGUUGUCGCAUCUCCCCGAGGUUUCCAGUUCUGUGCGUUCUCCCACUCUGGAAGACUCAAGAAUCUUAAAAAUCAUUUAUGUGCAAUUCUAAAAGAUGAAGUAGUUAUUUCCUGGGGGAGUCUACAUUUUUGAAAGAAUCUAAGUCACGUCUUAAAGCGUUGCACGUACUUACAAGCAAUCUGGGAAAGUUACAGGCAAAGGUAAAGGGCCGGGAGGUCACAGGCAAAGGUAAAGGGCCUGGAGGUCACGCACAUUCCCGCCAGUAGGCCACGUACACUGCCGCCACGCGGUCACGCACACUGCCGCGGGAGUUCACGCACACUGACGUGGGAGGUCACGCACACUGCCGCCGGGAGGUCACGCACACUAACGUGGGAGGUCACGCACACUGCCGCGGGAGUUCACGCACACUGACGUGGGAGGUCACGCACACUGCCGCGGGAGGUCGCGCCCACUGCCGCCGGGAGGUCGCGCCCACUGCUGCCGGGAGGUCGCGCCCACUGCCGCCGGGAGGCCGCGCACACUGCCGCUGUUGUGUGGGUUUGUGUUGAAGGCCCACCCUCUUCCCGGAUCAACAGGGUCCAAGAGCAGGAAAGUGGAAUUGAAUACCUGGACUAAGACCAAAGAAUGCCGCAGUGCGAGUUGGGGGGGAUAAAUUCCAGGUUUUGAGCUGUUGCUCUAGUCGGUCUGCGCCUGCAGAUGGCAGCGCUCCUUCAUCGUUGCAGCGAUGUGGAUUGAAAUGCACUGGAGCGUCAAUGGAAGGUGAAUUUAUGAAGUGAAAUCAAACUUCAGAAAUCUAUUUUCAGUUGAUUCCACUGGACGCAACUCAAGCAACAGUGUUAAAUGACGAUGGGGAAUACACGUGGGGCAGAGGGACCGGGUGCCUCGUGACAGCGCCCCACUCAGGCCCCAGCUGGAACUGAGCGCAGCCCCCAUCCGGGGAACGGGGACAGUCUCCCCCUGGUGGAGCCGCUGAGGUGUGUCCGCCAGCGACGGCGGAAUCGCUCACUGCGCACCGUCCUGACUCCUCAAUACAAAUACGGCCAGUGGGUCCCUGUUGUGAGGACGGCAUGGGAGAGAUGACUUCCUUCCAGCCUAAGGGAUUGGGCACCGAAGACAGCACAGACAAGCAUCCUUGGUCAUUGCAUGGAAUAGAACAUUUCAACAGCUCAAACACACUGGUGAGGAUCAAUAUGGAUCUAUGAACUUAAAAAAAAAAGGGAGAGAGAUGUGGAGUUAAAACAACAACAAAAACAUCACUCUUCAGUGGCUGCCACAACUCCUGCUUCUGCUUUCCCAUUCGCUGCCAAGGACAGGCAACCUCAGCGAUGUACCGAGUGAGACGCUGGGCAGGCGUGAAAGGUACAGUGGGAACGCUGGGACCGAUGGUGUGGGGAAGGACAGGAAUGAACCGUGCCUCCAAUGAAGAGAGCACCGUCGCACGCCUGCCCCUUUGCAGUGUGACGUUGCUGUUGUGACAUUGCUGUUCCUAUAACCAGCAGGUGAGGUGUGUUCUUCAGCUCCUUGAAACCAGGCAGACCUUUUGAUAUGCUGAGACCAGUAGCAUGUGGUGGAAGGGCCAUGUGGAGAAGAGUCAGGUGCCUCAAACAACAGACAGCACAGACUGCCAGAGGAGCGAGUGAAGCCAGCCCGGACGCUCUACUUACUGCAAGCCAUCAGGUCACUGCAGCUGCAUGUGUGAACCCAAGUUAGACCAGCAGGACUGCCUGGAUUGCCAGUGCGUAAAAUUAUGCAAAAGAACCAAUGAUUGCUGUUUUAUGCCACGAUUUUGGAGGACCUUGUAACAAGAACAAUAAAUAACUGACACAGGUGUUCAAGGCUGCAGUGAGCUAUAACUGCACCACCGCAGUCCAACCUGGGUGACAGAGCAAGGGAGCCUGUCUCAAAAAAAUAAAAUAAAUUACUGACAUAUGCUUAUUAUUUUUAAAAUAAUUUUCUUUUGACUUAAUUCUUCAGUUCAGCUUGCUUAUAUGGAUAAUAUCAAAAUGAAUCACUUUAAUUUUCUACUAUGGAUUAUAGUUAAGAGCUUGUCAAAAAUAGACCAGAUACCUCUACAACAGCAGCAUUUAUUCAGGUCAUGGUACCUGCAUGGGCAACUGAGAUCCAUCGUCUGGUCCCAGGUUUUGUAUGUCAGGUUACAGGACGGAUUCACAACAUUCAAUCUCACAAAACAUUAACGUUCUAUUUAGAAUGGUCCAUUUCUUAAAAAUUAAAGUAAUGCUGCAACGUAGGCAAGAUUUUUCAUCUCUUCAGCAGAAAACCCUGACCUAUGUUGGUAACCUAAAUGAAAAGUGAAAAUAUUUCGAGAUAUAAAUGAUAAUUUGGAUGCUAUUAUACUAUCACAGGAUCCUGAUGCCCCUUAUCAGUGAUAAACAAUGGAACCUGAUAGUGCAUCCCAGCAGAUAGGACCUCUUCCACACUGCACAGUGUUAGAGAUGCAACGAGAGGCUCCAGGCCAGGUGCAGUGGCUCAAACCUGUAAUCUCAGCAGUUUGGGAGGCUGAGGUGGGUGGAUUGCUUUAGGCCAGGAGCUUGAGAUGGGCGUGGCCAACAUAGUGAAACCCCGUCUCUACUAAAAAUACAAAACUUGGCCCAGUGUAGUGGCACGCGCCUGUAGUCCCAGUGACUCAGGAAGCUGAGGCACAAGAAUCGCUUGAACCCAGGAGGCAGAAUCUAUAGUGAGCCGUGAUCAUGCCACUGCACUCCAGCCUGGGCAACAGAAUGAGACUCCAUUUCAAAAAAAAAAAAAAAAAUAGACUCUAGUGCUGGUAUUCUAAUUUCUAAGACUCCAUAUGGAAAUAUGGAAAUACCUGUUGAGAGACACCAGCAUUAUAUCACGCUGACAUCAUUGCAUUGUGAUCCGUUUUUCCUGGCUCUGCACUCUUGAUGGAGACUUGAGAAAACUCGCUGGCAGCACAUUUCUCAACAUUCAUAUUUUUGCUUAGGUUAGUACUUUACCAAUCUUAUCCCCAAAUUGUGGCAGAUCACUCUGUCCCUACUAUGUCUCCAGGAAAGCAGCAGAAAUCUCUCAGCCAUUUUUAUAUCUUUGGCACAUCUUCAAAGUUGAUAUAAUUAUUUGCAUUCUUUCUGAUUACGUGAAAACCGAGGCCUUAUUUGUUAUAUUAAGAGUUCAAGUUCCUUAAUAGUAAUACUUUGGCUCAUUGUUUUCUUAUGAAAAUAUAGCUAUAACAUCAUUUUAAAAGAGAUGGGACUUAGAAAGAUUCCGCUCUACUGAUUUUACAGCUGUUUGGUGCAAUACAUAAUUACUGGGUAGCUUUACUCCAGUGGGAAAAUGAUGCUCCAGAUACUGCAUUAAGCAUUUUUCCUCACAAUGAAUGCCUAGUUUACUUUUGCACAUUCUCAAAUUUAUAUACUUCUCCCUCUUCUAUUCCCAUCAAUAAGGCCUUUCCAGCAACUCUCCUCCUACUCCCUUUACCAAAACAAACACAAAUAAAUAAAAUAAUCAGUCAAAAGGAGGCAGGCAUGAGGGUACUUUGUCAGUAUUGUUAUCACCUGGAGUAUUAGUAAACUGCCUCAGUGGUGUGCGAGAUUUCUUUCAAACCUUUGUAUUUUUAAGUGGGACAUGUAAUUAUAUCACGAAAAUGAGAACGGAAACAAAAUUAAAGUUUUAUGCUAUCAUUAUUAAUCAUUCUAGUCAUAAUAUUUAAUUUUCUGUCCCCUAUGACAUGUAUAAUAACUAAGGAAAUAUGCCCCAUUUAAAGGAUUGAAGCCAGUAUCCUCCAUCAUUUGAGGGGAAUUUCCAGCCAAAAUGUUUGAUUGGCACUCAUGAGGACAGGUGCGACCCUGCACCUGGGUCACUAGUUAAUUCCUCUGGAUACUUGUUUGGGUCAAAAUGAGCUCAAGUGAGUAACAGGCACAAAGCCUUCGCUUUCUGUCUCGACCCAACAAGGACCUGUACAGAAGAUGAGUUUUCUCAUCAGCCCAUUCCCAAGUAUCCCACAUAUUCAAUGAGCCAGCAGGUCAUCUCCUGUUCAGCAGUUGAAAAUCACCUCCGAUUCAGCUGACACACAGGAAGUCCAUCAAUGUCCAUUAGCCCAGAACAAGCGUGUCGGUCACAGCAGCUGUCAGUCUAGGCCAAAGAGGUCCUGUCAGGGCCAUUGUUAUUUUUGUCCUGAAGUUAGGUAUGAAAGUUAUGGUCAUGGCAGGUUUUAAUUAUUUGUGUCAACAAAGACAAUGGACAGUCACCCAAACUCAAUAACUCUGUAUUUUAAAAGCUGUAAAGAAAAGCACAUGUGAUAAGCUUAUCAAUAUUUCUGAUAUAUUAUUCAGGUACUUUGGUCCUUGUGUGUCUCUGAUUAGGUGUCGGCUUUUAGAUUAGAUGGAUUGGAUUGAUUAUGGCUUUUGAAAAUUGUUAUUUAUAUUUAGAUAUCUCUAUAUUGGACACGUAGUUGUUUGGAGAAAUGAGUCUAAUACCCAUGUUGAAAGCAGAAACGGGAUAUAACGUUUUUGUUCUGUUUCUAUGAUCUUUUUAUGAACAAGAAUGUUACGCCAACUCUAUUUUUUUGGAGAUAAAUGGGUAUAUGAAAAUAACACCUUCAGCACGUAUUGCCUAACACUCAUUUGUAAUUAUCACGUAUAAUGCCUGGUUGAUUACGGUUUUAACGUCUUUGCAUAUUGUAAGCCCCCAAUGAUGCUGUGACCUACUUGGAUGCAGAGCCUCUUUCACUGUGUCAUUAUGCCUCCAAUAAUACAACUAACAUGAAUAGUAAAGAGCAAUAAAUAGAUAGCUCCCAUCCAUUGAGCUCUUAGUUGCUCGUGGCUUAAUGCUAAACACUUCCCAUAUGUAUCUUAACCCUGAAAAUCAUUCCAUGAGGCAGCAAUUAUUUGUGUCUUUACAGACAAUGGAACAGAAGUGUAUGUAAUUACUAACUUGCUUAUGCUUAUAUUUUGCUAAAAGAAAAGGUUCUCUCCCCCUUUUAGGUGCAUUUGCAAGGCAGCUCUUCGGAACAAGGCACAGGCGUUCUAUUUUUUUAUUAUUAGUAGCAGCAGCAACUGCUGCAACAGCAGUAGCCUUAGUAGCAGUUUGCUGUUUAUAAUCUCCUUUCUCAAUUGGAUUGUUUGCAUCUUGAGGUCCUCUUGCUCAUAUUUGUAUUCUUAACAUCCAUGAGCCACCUCUCAGGUACCACUAAUACAAUGUCGAGGAAUAAAUGGGGAGAAUUGUUAUGAUCUUGAGCCUCGCUCCUAGAGGAUCACUUCUCUGUAAGAGGGAUGUGUAAUUCAGGACUCCCCAGAUGGGAAACCAGUAUGUGUGGAAAUAUUAUAAAGAGGUUUCACUGUAGCGUACGUUGUAAUAAUUUACAACAUUUGUUCAAAUGCAUAUCCUACAUGGUACAGCAAUUACACAGGUAAUAAAUCUUGUAUCUGAAAACACAGAACACAUGAUACCCAGCCUUUUCAUGCACACUUGAUUUCUCCUGAUUUAUUAAUAACUUUCUCGUGUUUAAGUGACUGUCCUUAUUACGCAUUGCUUUGUUUCUCACUGUGGCAUGACCUUAGCUCGACAGUUGCUAAAAUUCUCCCAGGAGACUUUUUAAUGCUACAUUUGCUUAGAAGACAUGUUCUGCCUUGUGGCUAAUGAUAUAGUUGCGUGGUAAGAAAGAAGGAUGAAAGCAGAAACACACAGACAGGACAUUGAGAAGCGGAUUAACAACAAAUACAAAGGAGGGAAACGAAAACCAAUUCAUUCUCUUUUUUUGCACAUAGUUUUAAGCAUAUCAUGACAUUUCGAAAGUAGGAAACAUCCCUACAAAGCUGGAUCAAACACGAUACUAACCCCAACACCACAGUUCUUCAAGUGGCAGGUGGUAAACUAUAACACACCAUUAACACUUUGUAAAAUGUUACUUAAAAUACAAAUGAUAAAGGGACCAAAGGCCCUGGCGUUCUCAGUUUAACUGACUUGUUUACCUUUAUAGUUUAGUCACAUGAUAUUGUUUUUACCAAUGAAUGUAAGUUCUCAUCUUCAUUUCACGCUCAAUCUGU